CGCCAUAUUUGUUUACAAAUGUGGCAGUAUACAUGUGAUGUGUUACGACAGCAAAAGGAACCUGUGAUCACUGAAGGAGGUCUCGAUAAUGUGAAGACGCGACAGUACGCCUGACAGCCUCUCUGGGUGCAUUCUCUUCAAAGAAGAACGGACCGAGAACAAAGGUAAUGUGAAUCCGCACCACACGGCCACACAAGAGCUGUGUGCGUGGCAUGGAGCUGGACAGCAGGCCAGAGAGCGGAGGGAGCGCGAUGCCCAGAAGAGCCCCGCCUGCCGCGACCACUGACCUGGAGUGCGUGCUGCGGCCGCUCGUGGCGCUGUCGUCGCUGCUGGGGGUGCCGCCCUGCCGCCCCCGG